UACGUAGGGUGCAAGCGUUGUCCGGAAUUAUUGGGCGUAAAGAGCUCGUAGGCGGUUUGUCGCGUCUGCUGUGAAAAUCCAGGGCUUAACCCUGGACCUGCAGUGGGUACGGGCAGACUAGAGUGUGGUAGGGGAGAUCGGAAUUCCUGGUGUAGCGGUGAAAUGCGCAGAUAUCAGGAGGAACACCGGUGGCGAAGGCGGUGAUCUGGGCCGGUACUGACGCUGAGGAGCGAAAGCGUGGGGAGCGAACAGG
rnacentral:rRNA from 1 species